rnacentral:tmRNA from 1 species
GGGGCUGACAAGCUUCGACAGAAGUUCUUUGAAAAGUGAUUGCAAGCCAGAGCUGUCAUCAUCUCUUUCAAAACUGAUGGCAAUCUACAAAUGCCAAUACAUUUGUUUCCAAGGUAAAGAAUGCUUUUGCAUCUCUUUCUUUGGUACCUGCAUUAGCCUAAUACGCUUUUGCGGUCGAAUCCGCGACACCGAUGGCGGCCUAGACCUAUUAUCCUCGGUUAGAUCAAUCAUGGCCCUCGUGACUGCGACUGAUCGAAACAAUUCACGAUCGUCUGGCUGAUAUUUUGCUGGUUUAAAGUCAGUCCGGACUAAACAAAAUAAAUCCGCUAAGCUUGUAGACAUUGCUUUUCUAAACUUUUGGACGCGGGUGCAAUUCCCGCCAGCUCCAUUC